rnacentral:rRNA from 1 species
GGUGUCCUACGGGACGCAGCAGUGGGGGAUAUUGCACAAUGGGGGGAACCCUGAUGCAGCGACGCCGCGUGGGUGAAGAAGCGCCUCGGCGCGUAAAGCCCUGUCAGCAGGGAAGAAAAUGACGGUACCUGAAGAAGAAGCCCCGGCUAACUACGUGCCAGCAGCCGCGGUAAUACGUAGGGGGCAAGCGUUAUCCGGAUUUACUGGGUGUAAAGGGAGCGUAGGCGGCGAUGCAAGUCAGAAGUGAAAGCCCGGGGCUCAACUCCGGGACUGCUUUUGAAACUGUGUUGCUAGAUUGCAGGAGG